GACGAACGCUGGCGGCGUGCCUAAUACAUGCAAGUAGAACGCUGAAGGAGGAGCUUGCUUCUCUGGAUGAGUUGCGAACGGGUGAGUAACGCGUAGGUAACCUGCCUGGUAGCGGGGGAUAACUAUUGGAAACGAUAGCUAAUACCGCAUAAUAGCAGUUAUUGCAUGAUAACUGUUUGAAAGGUGCAAUUGCAUCACUACCAGAUGGACCUGCGUUGUAUUAGCUAGUUGGUGGGGUAACGGCUCACCAAGGCGACGAUACAUAGCCGACCUGAGAGGGUGAUCGGCCACACUGGGACUGAGACACGGCCCAGACUCCUACGGGAGGCAGCAGUAGGGAAUCUUCGGCAAUGGACGGAAAGUCUGACCGAGCAAACGCCCGCGUGAGUGAAAGAAAGGUUUUUCGGGAUUCGUAAAAGCUCUGUUGUAAAGAGAAAG
rnacentral:rRNA from 1 species